ACUCUCCUGAUCAGAGAAUCCCACAAUGGAUUCAGACUUUAGGUCCCUGGGCAAAAUCCUAAUUCCUAUGGGGAAAACAACAAAAAGAAGAAAAGGAUUACCAAACAGGUUGAGAUUUCCAGCAAUAGAAAUUCCCCUUUGGUUGUUUGUACUCACUUUACAUUUAUACUAUUUUUCCAUUCAAUUUGCUCAAAUACAGAAGUCACAAGAUAUGUAAGAAUUUAAAAAAAAACCCCACAAC